rnacentral:tRNA from 1 species
UGAGGGCUAGUCUAACCAAGACAGCUGAUUUCGGCUCAACUAAUUAUGGUUUAACUCCAUAGCCCCCGU